UCAAACCCAGCAGCUGCAGGAUCAUCACAACCACGCCCUUUAAUCCCCCGAAGUGCUGAGCCAGGCCUUCCGUCCCCUCAAGGAGCCAGCCAGCUGUCUGGCUGUGAAAAUGGCGGAGGAAGAGGGCGGUGUGGAGGAGGGGGACAUAUUCCUAGCAUUCGCCCAUGGUCCCACUCCUCCUCGGGGUCCCCUGCGUCGUGCCUUGGACAAGAUCUUCCUCACUUUCUUGGUCCUCUUCCUGACCCUGCUGAUGCUGGAGGCUGCUUACAAACUGCUGUGGCCCCUGCCUUGGACCAAGUUUCGGGACUGGCUCCUCAGGACCCCUGAGGAGGAGUCAGCUCUGGAACUGUGAACACCAUCUUACAGACAACCUGUCCUGCCUACUGAGCUGUAAGACUCCAUAGUGUGUCCGUCCGUACCACAUUCUGUUUUACGGGCCCGUUGGCUGCUUCCGUUCCUUUGGACUACUUCGAGCACUACAGCAAUAAACGUGGCUGUGCGAGUGUC
rnacentral:sRNA from 1 species